rnacentral:rRNA from 1 species
UGGACUGGAGUAGUAAGAGUGGUUCUUGAAACUCAAAGAAUUUGACGGUGUUGUAGUCCUUUCAGAGGAAUCUGUCCUGUAAUUGAUAAUACACGAUUUGUUUUACCUUGUAAGUAGUUUGUAUAUCGCUGUCAUAAGAUUAUUCUAUUGAGGGUUUAAAUUUUCUUUGUUUGAAAUUAAGAAGAAUGUCAAGUCAUGGUGCAGCUUAUGAUAAGGAAGAGAUGGAUUACAAUAAUUUGAAUUAUACGGAUAUGUGGGGUAAGUUUAGAUUUAAGGUGGAUUUGAUUGUAAAUUUGUUGGAUUAAUAGGUUGAUUAUGGCUCUAUGAUGUGUACAUAUCGCCCGUCGCUCUCAUUAUAAUGUGAG